AAUGUGAAUUGCAGAAUUCAGUGAAUCAUCGAAUCUUUGAACGCACAUUGCGCCCUCUGGUAUUCCGGAGGGCAUGCCUGUUCGAGCGUCAUUUCACCACUCAAGCCUGGCUUGGUAUUGGGCGCCGCGGUGUUCCGCGCGCCUCAAAGUCUCCGGCUGAG
rnacentral:rRNA from 2 species